UUUUAGGAACUUACAUUACACCCAAUCUGACGUGGCACUAUACGAUAGAACAGCAUGAUACAAUGCAUAGCAUGAAAGUACGUAGUCUCAAACCAAACCGAAGAAACAAACCCAAGCUCGCGCAGACGACCUCGGGAAGCAGAUCGAAAGGCGGAUCGGAGCAAGCCCAAACCAAAUCAAAGUUCCUCCAAUGCACGCGUGGCGUUCAUCACGCCUCCUCGGGAAGCAGCUGAUGUGCACCGGCGGGCGCCAUGAAGAGGCACUCGUACACCACCACGGCGAGGGGCCCGCCGGCCAGCGGCCCCACCCAGUACACCCAGUGGUGGGUCCACACGCCCGUGGCCAACGCCGGGCCGAACGACCGCGCCGGGUUCAUGGACGCGCCGGACAGGACGGCGCCGGCGAUGGAGUUGGCGCCGACGAGGAGCCCGGUGAGCAGCGGGCCGACGCCGGGGAGAAUCUUCCGAGGGUCCAGGAUGGUCGCGUAGAUCACGAACAGCAGGCUGAACGUGAAGACGACCUCGGCGACCACGCCCUGAAUGGGCCCCACGCCUGCCGCCAGAGCGUGCACCGGAGUGGCCUGCAUAUAUAGAUCGAUUUGUAUGUACAAUUAUAUACCGGAGAGAUUAACGACGACGACCAUGACUGCUAGCGGCGGCGGCGCCAACGUACCACCAGGCCUCCGGUGAGCCACCGGAGCAGGACGCAGGCCGUGGAGGAGCCGAGCAUCUGGGCGACGAUGUACAGGGCCGACCGGAACAGGGUGAUCUGGCCACCGACGGCCAUCGACAGCGUGACGGCCGGGUUCACGUGGCCGCCGGAGAUGUGGAAGCCCGCCGUCGCGAUCACGCACACCACCAGCGCCUGCCCCAGCGCCACCGCCGUUAGGUUGCCUCCGGCGUUGGUCUUUCCUGCAGACGCGUAAAUGGCAUGUUGCUUAUGUAGCAAUUAAUUGACAUCCUUGAAAACAUAAUAAUAAAUAUGAAAUGCUCUUUAAAAAUAGCCUUAAGAAUUAAGAUCGUGAUGCAUUCGCCUAAGUUAUGAAAGAGGAUGCAUGUGGUGACACCACUAAUUUCACCAUUAAUUUGGUAGCAACGGGUUAGCAGCUGUAGUUUAUUUUUAUCCCACGUCUCAUUGUUUUCAAAUCAAGAUUAAUUCAUUUAAAUGAGUUGUGUGGUCGACCCAAUGAUCCAACAAAUUAAAAAUGUAAUAAGUAUUAUAUAUUGCUCAUACUAAUUACUAAUAAUUGUAAAUUAGUAGCUUCGCUGUGCCGCUGUUAAUACUAUACGUCUGCGCACUGUCAAUACUACGCCUUCCAUUCUGUUAAUAAUUGUCCAUUGAGGAUAUAAAGAGUGUGGUUAUUUUAGUAGCUUUUCACUCACUACCUCUAAACAAAUAAUUUGAAAAGAAAUAGAAGUGGCUGUGUCAUAUUAUUUAAUAGGUUUAUGGAUGAUCAUUUCACAUGGACUUGAAACUCUCUCGAGCUGCCUAUAUGUAGCUGCAUACCGUCGAUUGUCAUGGCGGCCCCGACUUGGAUGAAGACGAAGAGGAAGGUGAGGACGAGCUCGCCGAGGACGCCGCGGAAGAAGUCCGGCUCCGACGCCUCGCCGCGGCGACCAAGUGCCAGCUUUCCCAUUGGCAAAUUAAAGGCACACACAAGAGAUAGCAGCUGGUCAGCAGGGGGCGUUGGAGAAUAAGCUAAGAGAGAUCUUUAUUCGAUGGCACACUUUAGCUUGCUUGUUCC
rnacentral:lncRNA from 1 species